rnacentral:rRNA from 1 species
GAUCAUGGCUCAGGACGAACGCUGGCGGCGUGCUUAACACAUGCAAGUCGAACGAAGAGCGAUGGAAGCUUGCUUCUAUCAAUCUUAGUGGCGAACGGGUGAGUAACGCGUAAUCAACCUGCCCUUCAGAGGGGGACAACAGUUGGAAACGACUGCUAAUACCGCAUACGAUUCAAUCUCGGCAUCGAGACUGGAUGAAAGGUGGCCUCUAUUUAUAAGCUAUCGCUGAAGGG